rnacentral:rRNA from 1 species
UGAGCAACCUGCCCUUGACUCUGGAAUAACAGCUGGAAACAGCUGCUAAUACCGGAUACGACCUCCGAUGGCAUCAUCUGGAGGUGGAAAGCUCCGACGGUCAAGGAUGGGCUCGCGGCCUAUCAGCUUGUUGGUGAGGUAACGGCUCACCAAGGCUUCGACGGGUAGCCGGCCUAAGAGGGCGACCGGCCACACUGGGACUGAGAUACGGCCCAGACUCCGUAGGGAGG